CUCCUGGAAACGGGUGGUAAUGCCCGAUGCUCCAUCAUGCUGCAUGGUGUGGUGGGAAAGCUUCGGCGGUAUGGGAUGGGGUCGCGUCCUAUCAGCUUGUUGGUGGGGUAAUGGCCUACCAAGGCUUCGACGGGUAGCCGGCCUGAGAGGGCGACCGGCCACAUUGGGACUGAGAUACGGCCCAGACUCCUACGGGAGGCAGCAGUGGGGAAUAUUGCGCAAUGGGGGGAACCCUGACGCAGCGACGCCGCGUGCGGGAUGGAGGCCUUCGGGUUGUGAACCGCUUUUGGUAAGGAGCAAGCGAGAGUGAGUGUACUUAUCGAAUAAGGACCGGCUAACUACGUGCCAGCAGCCGCGGUAAUACGUAGGGUACGAGCGUUAUCCGGAAUUAUUGGGCGUAAAGGGCUCGUAGGCGGUUCGUCGCGUCCGGUGUGAAAGUCCAUCGCUUAACGGUGGAUCCGCGUCGGGUACGGGCGGGCUGGAGUGCGGUAGGGGAGACUGGAAUUCCCGGUGUAACGGUGGAAUGUGUAGAUAUCGGGAAGAACACC
rnacentral:rRNA from 1 species